UCCUGGCUCAGAUUGAACGCUGGCGGCAUGCCUUACACAUGCAAGUCGAACGGCAGCACGGGAGCUUGCUCCUGGUGGCGAGUGGCGAACGGGUGAGUAAUACAUCGGAACGUACCCAGGAGUGGGGGAUAACGUAGCGAAAGUUACGCUAAUACCGCAUAUUCUGUGAGCAGGAAAGCGGGGGAUCGCAAGACCUCGCGCUCUUGGAGCGGCCGAUGUCGGAUUAGCUAGUUGGUGAGGUAAAAGCUCACCAAGGCGACGAUCCGUAGCAGGUCUGAGAGGAUGAUCUGCCACACUGGGACUGAGACACGGCCCAGACUCCUACGGGAGGCAGCAGUGGGGAAUUUUGGACAAUGGGGGCAACCCUGAUCCAGCCAUG
rnacentral:rRNA from 1 species